AAGUCGUAACAAGGUUUCCGUAGGUGAACCUGCGGAAGGAUCAUUAACGAGUUAGGGUCUCUUCGGCCCGACCUCCCAACCCUAUGUUUACUGAACUCCUGUUGCUUCGGCGGGCCCGUCUCACGACCGUCGGAGGAGUCGCCGCGAGGCGCCCUCUGACCAGCGCCCGCCGACGGCCAACCCAUGUCAAAACUCUGUAUAAAUCGUGUCAUGAUGUCUAAGUCUUUAUGAUUCAAUUUAAAACGCAAAACUUUCAACAACGGAUCUCUUGGUUCUG
rnacentral:misc_RNA from 1 species